CAGGAAGAGCACUUACCACUGGGAUGUCUGCUGUGCUUUGUCCAGAGCCGGAGGUGCUCUUCAUGAGCAGAAACCCAUCAGGAGAAAAAUUCAGAAACUUCACCUAUGAGAGAAGCCUGAAAGUGGAGCUGAUGGAUGGUCAAGAAAGACAAAUUAUUCUGACAUAAGUGGUGCAGUUGGGUCACAAGAAUCCUGGAGCUGAUUUAAAACCACAUGAUGGUUUAGAAGUGAUUUUCUCUUCUGGAGAAGAAAGUUUAAAUUUGGGUAAGAGAAACUGUCUGGGAAAGUACCUGGAUGGUGUUCACUCUUGCUGAAAACAAAUGGAAGACCUGGGCUAUCCUGGUGUCUUUGAUGAGAUGGGGGACCAACUCUGCAAGUCAGCUGAAUGUGUCAGGAUGGAGAGGAGGAGGAGAUUUUAGAUGCCAUCUUAUUAUAAAAAAAAUUCUUUCUUAAUGUCUUCAUCUGUCUUUGUGAACUCCUCUAGCAGUGUUGUCUUUUAGGAAUGCUGUUACUACUUUUAUAUGCUUUUUACUUUAAUUUUUAAUACAGAGAUACUCAGCUUUUGAAAUGUGGAAAAGCCUAUGGUCAAAGACUCUUAAACUUUUUGUAUUUUAUGUUUUCUGAGGGGUUUUAACCACAUGCAGAGAGUGGCAUCCUUUCAAACCAAAGGGAAAUGAGUCACAGAAUAUAUCUGCAUUUAACUGUAAAUUGCAUCCUACUUCUGAUAAAUGAUCAGUCUUCUUUCUUUUAUGAUUUCUUUUGUGUAUUCUUGUUUCUGCAACCAUUACUCUCUGAUUUCCAUGAAAUGUUUUAGACCUUUAUCAUAAUCAUUCUCUUAGAACUCAGCUACGUG
ensembl:lncRNA